rnacentral:rRNA from 1 species
UUGAACGCUGGCGGCAUGCCUAACACAUGCAAGUCGCACGCGAAAGGGGGCAACCCUGAGUAGAGUGGCGGACGGGUGAGUAACGCGUAGGAAUCUACCUGGUAGUGGGGGACAACCCGGUGAAAACCGGGCUAAUACCGCAUACGAUCCACGGAUGAAAGCAGGGGACCGCAAGGCCUUGCGCUAUCAGAUGAGCCUGCGUCGGAUUAGCUAGUUGGUGAGGUAAAGGCUCACCAAGGCAACGAUCCGUAGCUGGUUUGAGAGAACGACCAGCCACACUGGGACUGAGACACGGCCCAGACUCCUACGGGAGGCAGCAGUGGGGAAUAUUGGACAAUGGGGGCAACCCUGAUCCAGCAAUGCCGCGUGUGUGAAGAAGGCCUUCGGGUUGUAAAGCACUUUCGGUGGGGACAAACAAGGUGGAGCUAACAUCUCCGCCUCUGAUGGUACCCAAAGAAGAAGCACCGGCUAACUCUGU